rnacentral:rRNA from 1 species
UGGGGAAUUUUGGACAAUGGGCGCAAGCCUGAUCCAGCCAUGCCGCGUGCAGGAUGAAGGCCUUCGGGUUGUAAACUGCUUUUGUACGGAACGAAAAGGUGCCUUCUAAUAAAGGGCGCUCAUGACGGUACCGUAAGAAUAAGCACCGGCUAACUACGUGCCAGCAGCCGCGGUAAUACGUAGGGAGCAAGCGUUGUUCGGAUUUACUGGGCGUAAAGGGCGCGUAGGCGGCGCGGUAAGUCACUUGUGAAAACUCUGAGCUUAACUCAGAACGGCCAAGUGAUACUGCUGUGCUAGAGUGCGUUAGAGGCUACCGGAAUUCUUGGUGUAGCGGUGAAAUGCGUAGAUAUCAAGAGGAACACCUGAGGCGAAGGCGGGUUGCUGGGCCGACACUGACGCUGAUGCGCGAAAGCCAGGGGAGCAAACG